AAUUACAGUUUUGUCCCCACCAAAUAGAAUUUUGGUCCAUGAAGAUGCCAGAUGGUAUGUAUAAUUACAGAUUUGUCCCCACCAACCAGAGAAAGUCACCAAGUUCAUUGUGAAGUACUUCUGACCUUUUCAUGUCCAAUGAAAAUCAUAGUUAUAUGAGUAGUUGAGUACUGGUUUUAAUAAUCUUAUAUUCUUAACAACGAUAUCUUAUUUAAUCAUUUAUAUUUCUUACAGCUCAUUUCUUUAUAUGUGUCGUCUUUUCCCACAUUUUAAAUUAUACUCUCCAAAAAGGUUUUCAAGCUUUGUUUUACCUACCUUUUCUUGAAGAAAUGUUGGGGAGGACCUUUUUUGUAAUACUGUUCUUCUGGGCAGCUCUCACUGUCAUCACGCCUAUUCUCAUUCGGUUGUCUGCAUCUGCAAAUCUCUUGGAUUACAACGGAGAAACGAAGCAUGGUGGCAUCCAAAAUAGUAAAGCACUCGGCUUAUUGUCCAGAAGAGCACUUGGACAGAAAGAAAGACCAUUUUCACCUUCACCAUCACCAUCACCGGAAUUUCAGACUACAUUUAAACUAGAGUAUGAAGGAGAUAAGUCAUAAGUGAUUAGGCAUUUUCUUUGGGCUAAAACAAAGGGGAAUGAUGUGCGGGGAUACAAGUCUUAAUGAUGGUGCCUUAAAGCUCAUGAUUGUUGCUUCACAUUGAAACAACCAUUAUUGAACGAUAAUGAAUCUUAACUGGUGUGUUUUUUUAUAAUACCCCUGGGCCCUGGCUUUAUGAGGGGAUUAGCAUUUAGAGUUUGUACAAAAUAAUAUCAUAAUAUUAUUGUAACUGCAGUUUUAUUUA